rnacentral:rRNA from 1 species
AGGGUUUGAUUAUGGCUCAGGAUGAACGCUGGCGGCGUGCUUAACACAUGCAAGUCGAGCGAAGCAAUUUAAGUGAAGUUUUCGGAUGGAUCUUAGAUUGACUGAGCGGCGGACGGGUGAGUAACGCGUGGAUAACCUGCCUCACACAGGGGGAUAACAGUUAGAAAUGACUGCUAAUACCGCAUAAGCGCACAGUACCGCAUGGUAUAGUGUGAAAAACUCCGGUGGUGUGAGAUGGAUCCGCGUCUGAUUAGGUAGUUGGUGAGGUAACGGCCCACCAAGCCGACGAUCAGUAGCCGACCUGAGAGGGUGACCGGCCACAUUGGGACUGAGACACGGCCCAA